UACGAAGGGGGCUAGCGUUGCUCGGAAUCACUGGGCGUAAAGCGCACGUAGGCGGCUUUUUAAGUCAGGGGUGAAAUCCUGGAGCUCAACUCCAGAACUGCCUUUGAUACUGAGAAGCUAGAGUCCGGGAGAGGUGAGUGGAACUGCGAGUGUAGAGAUGAAAUUCGUAGAUAUUCGCAAGAACACCAGUGGCGAAGGCGGCUCACUGGCCCGGUACUGACGCUGAGGUGCGAAAGCGUGGGGAGCAAACAGG
rnacentral:rRNA from 1 species